rnacentral:rRNA from 1 species
UAGAGUUUGAUCCUGGCUCAGAAUCAACGCUGGCGGCGUGCCUAACACAUGCAAGUCGAACGAGAAAGUGGAGCAAUCCAUGAGUAAAGUGGCGACCGGGUGAGUAACACGUGACUACCUACCUUCGAGUGGGGGAUAACUCCGGGAAACCGGGGCUAAUACCGCAUAACAUCGAGAGAUCAAAGGAGCAAUUCGCUUGAAGAGGGGGUCGCGGCUGAUUAGUUAGUUGGUGAGGUAACGGCUCACCAAGGCUAUGAUCGGUAGCCGGUCUGAGAGGAUGGCCGGCCACACUGGAACUGAGACACGGUCCAGACUCCUACGGGAGGCAGCAGUGGGGAAUCUUGCGCAAUGGGCGAAAGCCUGACGCAGCAACGCCGCGUGGGGGAUGAAGCUUUUCGGAGUGUAAACCCCUUUCGACCCGGAUGAAUCCCCGCAAGGGAUUGACAGUACGGGUAUAAGAAGCCCCGGCUAACUACGUGCCAGCAGCCGCGGUAAAACGUAGGGGGCCAGCGUUGCUCGGAAUUACUGGGCGUAAAGGGUCUGUAGGCGGUGCGGCAAGUCGGAAGUGAAAUCUCAGGGCUUAACCCUGAGGCUGCUCCCGAAACUGCUGUGCUCGAGUGCGAGAGAGGCGAGUGGAAUUGCAGGUGUAGCGGUGAAAUGCGUAGAUAUCUGCAGGAACAUCCGAGGCGAAAGCGGCUCGCUGGAUCGCAACUGACGCUGAGAGACGAAAGCUAGGGGAGCAAACAGGAUUAGAUACCCUGGUAGUCCUAGCCCUAAACGAUCAUGACUGGGCGUGGGCCCUGUACGGGGCUCGUGCCGGAGCUAACGCGUUAAGUCAUGCGCCUGGGGAGUACGGUCGCAAGGCUGAAACUCAAAGGAAUUGACGGGGGCCCGCACAAGCGGUGGAACAUGUGGUUCAAUUCGACGCAACGCGAAGAACCUUACCUGGGCUUGAACCGCACAGGACCAUCUUGAGAAAUCGAGACUUCCCGCAAGGGACCUGUGUAGAGGUGCUGCAUGGCUGUCGUCAGCUCGUGCCGUGAGGUGUUGGGUUAAGUCCCGCAACGAGCGCAACCCUUACUCGUAGUUGCCACCCGCAAGGGGGAACUCUACGAGGACUGCUCCGGAUAACGGAGAGGAAGGUGGGGAUGAGGUCAAGUCAGCAUGGCCUUUAUGUCCAGGGCUACACACGUGUUACAAUGCGCGCUACAAAGCGUCGCGAACCCGCGAGGGGGAGCUAAUCGCAAAAAAGCGCGCUCAGUUCGGAUUGCAGUCUGCAACUCGACUGCAUGAAGCUGGAAUCGCUAGUAAUGGCGCAUCAGAUCGGCGCCGUGAAUACGUUCCCGGGCCUUGUACACACCGCCCGUCACAUCACGAAAGUGGGUUGUACUAGAAGUCGUCAAGCCAACCGCAAGGAGGCAGACGCCCAAGGUAUGACUCAUGAUUGGGGUGAAGUCGUAACAAGGUAGCCGUAGGAGAACCUGCGGCUGGAUCACCUCCUUA